UCUAAUGGUCAAUUUUCUGAAUUUCCCCCACGAGGAGGGCUCAGUGCUUCUCUCCCAGUUGCUGGGUUUGGUGGGACAACAAAUGCGUGAAAACCGGGAAUAAUAGUAAUAAUAGGAAUAAUGGGACCAAAUCAAAGGGGAGAAUUGAUUCGUAAAAAUGAGAUUUUCUGUUUAGAGGGGCAAGAGGAACGCCUGCGGAUGAGGGCCAGCAGGUCAGGUGAGAGGGGCGAACCGGCAGAAGGUGGAUGGAGAGGAAGCUGCCCGGAGGCGGGCUGCCCACAGCGGCCGCAGAGGGAACCGGGAAUUUCUGGCACGGUGUAGGAAUGAUUUAGAACAAGCCAUUGAAUUUCUACCUCGCCGCUCUCUCUCUCGCUCGCUCGCUCUCGCUCUCACCCUCGCUCUGCGUUCUGUCCGGGAGGAGUACGGAGAAGCCAAUAGGAUGCGGGGUCUCUAAUGGAUGCAAAUGAUCAUGAAAAGACAGUGCAAAAUAUGAAACAACUCAUUUGCGGGGAAGUAAAUCACCGAAAACUGUUUAUGAACUGGCAUCCCUUCUUCGAAAUGUAAAGCGAGGACCUCUUUAACGG